UCAGGUGGCCGCAGAGAAUAGGCCCAAGCGACUGUUUACCAAAAACAUAGGUUUCUGCUAAGUCGCAAGACGAUGUAUAGGAGCUGACGCCUGCCCGGUGCUGGAAGGUUAAGGGGAUCUGUUAGAGCAAGCGAAGCAGUGAACUUAAGCCCCAGUAAACGGCGGCCGUAACUAUAACGGUCCUAAGGUAGCGAAAUUCCUUGUCGGGUAAGUUCCGACCCGCACGAAAGGCGUAACGAUUUGGGCACUGUCUCAACAACAGACUCGGUGAAAUUGUAAUUCCGGUGAAGAUGCCGGAUACCUGCGACAGGACGGAAAGACCCCAUGGAGCUUUACUGUAGCUUGACAUUGGGUCUUGGUACUACAUGUACAGGAUAGGUGGGAGGCUUUGAA
rnacentral:rRNA from 1 species